rnacentral:tRNA from 1 species
CCCCUCGUAGCUCAGUGGUAGAGCGCCUGGCUGUAGCCCGGGAGAUCCCCAGUUCGAGUCUGGGCGGGGGGA